rnacentral:rRNA from 1 species
GUGUCAGCAGCCGCGGUAAUACGUAGGCAGCAAGCGUUGUUCGGAGUUACUGGGCGUAAAGAGUGCGUAGGCGGUUUCCUAAGUUUGGUGUGAAAUCUCCCGGCUUAACUGGGAGGGUGCGCCGAAGACUGGGGAGCUAGAGGAUGGGAAAGGUAAGCGGAAUUCCUGGUGUAGCGGUGAAAUGCGUAGAUAUCAGGAGGAACACCGGCGGUGUAGACGGCUUACUAGACCACCCCUGACGCUGAGGCACGAAAGCGUGGGUAGCAAACAGGAUUAGAUACCCUGGUAGUCCACGCCCUAAACGAUGCAUACUUGGUGUGGGCAGUUCAUUCUGUCCGUGCCGGAGCUAACGCGUUAAGUAUGCCGCCUGGGGAGUACGGUCGCAAGGCUGAA